UACAGAGGGUGCGAGCGUUAAUCGGAAUUACUGGGCGUAAAGCGUGCGUAGACGGUUAUUUAAGUCGGGUGUGAAAGCCCCGGGCUCAACCUGGGAAUUGCAUUCGAGACUGAAUAGCUAGGGUACGGUAGAGGGAAGUGGAAUUUACGGUGUAGCAGUGAAAUGCGUAGAGAUCGUAAGGAAGACCAGUGGCGAAGGCGAGUUUCUGGACAGUUACUGACGCUGAGGCACGAAGGCCAGGGGAGCAAACGGG
rnacentral:rRNA from 1 species